GCACCCGUAGCUCAGUAGGAUAGAGCGACUGCCUCCUAAGCAGUAGGCCGUGGAUUCGAGUUCCUCCGGGUGCGCCA
rnacentral:tRNA from 1 species